CCGUGGAGGCGGGGGCGCGUGCCACCGUGCCGACGCCCCGGCGUGGCCAUGUGGCGGCAGGUGGCCGGGCGCGCCGGAGUCCGCACGAGAGCUGCGUAGGCUCGGCGGCCGUCCAGUGGCCUGCGGCCUGCCGCCUGGAUUGCCUGCCGUGCGCCCGUGCUGGCAGCACACAGGCUCAGGCUCAGGCUCAGGCGCUCAGCGCCUUGCCAUCUGAAGAAGAACAAAAGAAUUGAAGAAGUGAAGAUUGAAGAAGCCAAGAAGGGGCUUUGGAGAUUGCCAAGAUGAAGAGUAGAUUUAUCAUUCUUUGUGUUAAGGCCUGUCUAAUGGCUCAGCUAGGAGCUGCCAAUGUCGUGCUAAUGGGGAAUAAUCUAACCUUGUCUUUUGACGACACCGAGGCAAGCUUUGGGAGGUGUUGAAGAAGUAACACUACUUGCCAUGUCAGCCUGGUCACAGUAUGUUUGUCUGACCUUUUAACACCCUGCUUUUUUGUUAUAUUAUGCUACCAUAAUAGCCUGACUGCUUGAGACUGCCACAUCCAACAGAUCUGGUAUACUAUACUUUUCAGUCUUCAGAUUUGAGACCUGAAGAAACCCCCCCCCCCCCCCAAAAGUUCAUGUCAUAAUGUACAGAUGUGGUCUAUUAUAUUUUUCAUAUAUUUUUAAUGGAUUCCACAUAUGGUUCAAAUUGAUUGUAUAAGCCAUGCUACUUUAUUCAUAUCCAUGCAACGGAGUUUAGGGUUGCAUUCCUACGGUAUUGCUUUCAAUUGUGAUCAAAUUUAUAUUGUUGCAAUCCUGAGUUAAGGGUUGUAUAUUCGAUUUCAGAGAAUAGGAUAUGUCAUAUCCUUGCAACUUGGAGAUUCUAUCAAUGGUAGAUUGUGUAGAUUCCAUCGAAACAUGCAUAGCUAGGGAUGGCAUACUGAUAAUAGAUCUUGUUCAUUGUACUUGGGAAUUGUUUCCAAGUUUUGCUGCCUUUUUUGGCUUUAGUUGCUGCCUUUUUGGUCUUCAUUGGGGAGUCUUUCUUGGUCUUCACUAUGGAUGGAGUCCUUCCUCACUUUAGUUGUCAGCUGCUUUUUUCUUGGUGUUAUUUUUAGGCAGCUUGAACAUCCAAUGCAGCUGCAUCUUCUGGCGGUUGAACAUCCAUUGUUGCUCGUGCUGGAGCCUCCAAUUCCAGCCUCCUGCACUACAUGUUAUUAUUCUGGUUUUCACUAUGAUUUGUAUCUCCGAGAGUGCGCACAUGACUCUCUGAUUUCCUGUAAAAUCGUGUUAAGGACCAUCUGUUCUGCUUUAUCAUAGUGAUGAUUCAAUCUCAGAAUCGAGCAAACAUGACACUGGUCAUGCUAAUGAUUUCUAUAUAUAAAUUAGAUUUUGAUGUCAUGAGAUUUUGUUUGUGGCUUGGCAAAGAUAAUAACUGUAUCUUUAUGUUCAAACACAGGUAAUUGCUUUUGUUCAAACUGCAUUUAGUUACUGCAGAUAACUAGCUCCAUCCUAAUUUCGUAUAUCACAUCAGGUUUGCAGGAUGAUGCCGAAUGUAGGAGGCUACAAAGAAACAGCAAUCAAUGGAAACGUCGAGCUGAAAUGUCGGACGAACAAAGGCCAGAAAUAAAUAGGAAACAACGUGAAUACCGAGCAUGGAAAAAGGCUGAAUCAAGCCAUACUACCUCUGUAACAACGCCCACAUUGGCAGGGCUUUGUAAUCAUGACUCGGUGAGAAGCAGAUGUUGGCUUCAAUCUUCGACUUCCUCCAACUGAAGAUAUGUGAUUGCAUUAGUCUAUCCUGUCCGGAACUCCUAAUGCCUAUUUCAAGCUCUGAUUAGCUUGCAAAAAGUAGGGGCAACGGGCAACGACAGCCUUGAGCCUGUCCUUCUCUUUGUCUAGCAUUUCUUAAGAUGAUACAUCAAAAUUCUAUGUAUGAUCCCAUAAAGUUGUGAUUUUGCUUUAUGCAUGUGGUUGUGUAAUCAACAUAAUAACUUUGUCCUUUGUGUGAAACAAAUAUUUCUCAAUUUGAACUA